UACGUAGGGGGCUAGCGUUGCUCGGAAUCACUGGGCGUAAAGCGCACGUAGGCGGACUCUUAAGUCGGUGGUGAAAUCCUGGAGCUCAACUCCAGAACUGCCUUCGAUACUGAGAGUCUUGAGUCCGGGAGAGGUGAGUGGAACUGCGAGUGUAGAGGUGAAAUUCGUAGAUAUUCGCAAGAACACCAGUGGCGAAGGCGGCUCACUGGCCCGGUACUGACGCUGAGGUGCGAAAGCGUGGGGAGCGAACAGG
rnacentral:rRNA from 1 species